rnacentral:rRNA from 1 species
UACGUAGGGGGCAAGCGUUGUCCGGAAUCACUGGGCGUAAAGCGCACGUAGGCGGAUUGCUAAGUCAGGGGGUGAAAUCCUGGAGCUCAACUCCAGAACUGCCUUUGAUACUGGCGAUCUCGAGUCCGGGAGAGGUGAGUGGAACUGCGAGUGUAGAGGUGAAAUUCGUAGAUAUCGCAAGAACACCAGUGGCGAAGGCGGCUCACUGGCCCGAUACUGACGCUGAGGU